rnacentral:rRNA from 1 species
UAGAGAUUUGGCGGGACACGUCGUCCUCUCCUGCGCCGCGAACGAGAGGCUGGAGGGCGACUGUCGCCGUGGUGGAGGAGAGGAAGGCGAGCUGCCACGCAGGGGAGCCCCCAAGAUGGAAGCGAGGCAGCCCAAGGCCGUCACCGAGGAGCACGAGGAGGGGCGCCGCCGCCAUGGAGGAGAGCGGCGAGGGGCUGCGCCGUGGCUGUAGAGGAGGGAGGAGAGCCACUGCACCGUGAGAUUCCACGUGAACCUCUCCAGAUGAAUCUGUAGUGAGUCCCCUGUUGUUCAUCUUUAGGCUAAACAUCUUCUGACAUUUUACUUUGGCUGAAAAUGUUCUUACUCCCUCAUCGUAUCAGCUAUACAAAUGCUCUAAAGCACUGCUUGACUGCUUAUUUUUUAUCUAAAUAAAAGUGCAAAUCUGCA